rnacentral:rRNA from 1 species
UUUAAAGAGAGUUUGAUCCUGGCUCAGGACGAACGCUGGCGGCGUGCCUAAUACAUGCAAGUCGAACGAACGGAGGAAGAGCUUGCUCUUCCAAAGUUAGUGGCGGACGGGUGAGUAACACGUGGGCAACCUGCCUGUAAGUUGGGGAUAACUCCGGGAAACCGGGGCUAAUACCGAAUGAUAAAGUGUGGCGCAUGCCACGCUUUUGAAAGAUGGUUUCG